rnacentral:rRNA from 1 species
GACGAACGCUGGCGGCGUGCUUAACACAUGCAAGUCGAACGGAAAGGCCCUGCUUUUGUGGGGUGCUCGAGUGGCGAACGGGUGAGUAACACGUGAGUAACCUGCCCUUGACUUUGGGAUAACUGCAGGAAACUGGGGCUAAUACCGGAGAGGAGCUCCUGCUGCAGGGUGGGGGUUGGAAAGUUUCGGCGGUUGGGGCUGGACGCGCGGCUUAUCAGCUUGUUGGUGGGGUAGUGGCUUACCAAGGCUUUGACGGGUAGCCGGCCUGAGAGGGUGACCGGCCACAUUGGGACUGCGAUACGGCCCAGACUCGUAUGGGAGGCAGCAGUGGGGAAUAUUGCACAAUGGGCGGAAGCCUGAUGCAGCAACGCUGCGUGCGGGAUGACGGCCUUCGGGUUGUAAACCGCUUUCGCCUGUGACGAAGCGUGAGUGACGGUAAUGGGUAAAGAAGCACCGGCUAACUACGUG